GGUCGUUUAGCUCAGCUGGGAGAGCACCUCCCUUACAAGGAGGGGGUCACUGGUUCGAGUCCAGUAACGACCACCA
rnacentral:tRNA from 1 species